CCUACGGGAGGCUGCAGUGGGGAAUAUUGCACCAUGGGCGCAAGCCUGAUGCAGCCAUGCCGCGUGUGUGAAGAAGGCCUUCGGGUUGUAAAGCACUUUCAGCGGGGAGGAAGGCGUUAAGGUUAAUAACCUUGGCGAUUGACGUUACCCGCAGAAGAAGCACCGGCUAACUCCGUGCCAGCAGCCGCGGUAAUACGGAGGGUGCAAGCGUUAAUCGGAAUUACUGGGCGUAAAGCGCACGCAGGCGGUCUGUCAAGUCGGAUGUGAAAUCCCCGGGCUCAACCUGGGAACUGCAUUCGAAACUGGCAGGCUAGAGUCUUGUAGAGGGGGGUAGAAUUCCAGGUGUAGCGGUGAAAUGCGUAGAGAUCUGAAGGAAUACCGGUGGCGAAGGCGGCCCCCUGGGCAAAGACUGACGCUCAGGUGCGAAAGCGUGGGGAGCAAACAGGAUUAGAUACCCCUGUAGUC
rnacentral:rRNA from 1 species